GACGAACGCUGGCGGCGUGCUUAACACAUGCAAGUCGAACGAAGUGGCGAACGGGUGAGUAACGCGUAAUCAACCUGCCCUUCAGUGGGUGACAACAGUUGGAAACGACUGCUAAUACCGCAUACCGAACGAGGGUAUUGCGUCUGAAUAGCUAGUUGGAGGGGUAACGGCCCACCAAUGCGAUGAUCAGUAGCCGGUCUGGGCGGAUGAACGGCCACAUUGGUACUGAGACACGUCCCAGACGCCUACGGGAAGCAGCAGUGGGGAAUCGUCCGCAAUGGACGAAAGUCUGACGAAGCAACGCCGCGUGAGUGAUGACGGCCUGCGGGUUGUAAAGCUCUGUUAAUCGGGACGCGGUACCGGAAUAGAAAGCCACGGCUAACUACGUGCCAGCAGCCGGGGUAAUUC
rnacentral:rRNA from 1 species